rnacentral:rRNA from 1 species
GUGGGGAAUAUUGCACAAUGGGCGAAAGCCUGAUGCAGCAACGCCGCGUGAGGGACGACGGCCUUCGGGUUGUAAACCUCUUUUAGUAGGGAAGAAGCGAAAGUGACGGUACCUGCAGAAAAAGCACCGGCUAACUACGUGCCAGCAGCCGCGGUAAUACGUAGGGUGCAAGCGUUAUCCGGAAUUAUUGGGCGUAAAGAGCUCGUAGGCGGUCUGUCGCGUCUGCUGUGAAAACUGGAGGCUCAACCUCCAGCCUGCAGUGGGUACGGGCAGACUAGAGUGCGGUAGGGGAGAUUGGAAUUCCUGGUGUAGCGGUGGAAUGCGCAGAUAUCAGGAGGAACACCGAUGGCGAAGGCAGAUCUCUGGGCCGUAACUGACGCUGAGGAGCGAAAGCGUGGGGAGCGAACAGGAUUAGAUACCCCUGUAGUCC